CAGUCGCCGCGGGAAUACGGAGGGUGCAAGCGUUAAUCGGAAUUACUGGGCGUAAGGCGUGCGUAGGCGGUGAGUUAAGUCUGCUGUGAAAUCCCCGGGCUCAACCUGGGAAUGGCAGUGGAUACUGGCUCGCUAGAGUGUGUCAGAGGAUGGUGGAAUUCCCGGUGUAGCGGUGAAAUGCGUAGAGAUCGGGAGGAACAUCAGUGGCGAAGGCGGCCAUCUGGGACAACACUGACGCUGAGGCACGAAAGCGUGGGGAGCAAACAGGAUUAGAUACCCCAGUAGUCCCUGUCUCUUAUAC
rnacentral:rRNA from 1 species